rnacentral:rRNA from 1 species
AUCGCGCAUCAGCCAUGGCGCGGUGAAUACGUUCCCGGGCCUUGUACACACCGCCCGUCAAGCCAUGGGAGCCGGGAGUGCCUGAAGGCCGUGACCGCAAGGAGCGGCCUAAGGUAAAACUGGUGACUGGGGCUAAGUCGUAACAAGGUAGC